rnacentral:rRNA from 1 species
GACGAACGCUGGCGGCGUGCUUAACACAUGCAAGUCGAACGAUGAAGCCGGAGCUUGCUCCGGUGGAUUAGUGGCGAACGGGUGAGUAACACGUGAGCAAUCUGCCCUUGACUCUGGGCUAACUGCGGGAAACUGUAGCUAAUACCGGAUACGACACCUUGGGGCAUCCCAGGGUGUGGAAAGAAUUUCGGUCAAGGAUGAGCUCGCGGCCUAUCAGCUAGUUGGUGAGGUAAUGGCUCACCAAGGCGACGCCGGGUAGCCGGCCUGAGAGGGUGACCGGCCACACUGGAACUGAGACACGGUCCAGACUCCUACGGGAGGCAGCAGGGGGGAAUAUUGCACAAUGGGCGAAAGCCUGAUGCAGCAACGCCGCGUGAGGGAUGAAGGCCUUCGGGUUGUAAACCUCUUUUAGCAGGGAAGAAGCGAAAGUGACGGUACCUGCAGAAAAAGCACCGGCUAACUACGUGCCAGCCGCCGCGGUAA